rnacentral:tRNA from 1 species
GCCUGGCUGGCUCAGUUGGUAGAGCAUGUGACUCUUGAUCUCAGGGUUGUGACUGUGAGCCCCAUGUUAGGUG